UGGGGAAUAUUGCACAAUGGAGGGAACUCUGAUGCAGCGACGCCGCGUGAGUGAUGAAGGAAUUCGUUUCGUAAAACUCUGUUCUAUGGGAAGAAAAGGACUGUACCAUAGGAGAAAGCUCCGGCUAAAUACGUGCCAGCAGCCGCGGUAAUACGUAUGGAGCGAGCGUUGUCCGGAAUUAUUGGGCGUAAAGGGUGCGCAGGCGGCUUUACAAGUUGGAUGUGAAAUAUUGUGGCUCAACCACAAACGUGCAUCCAAAACUGCAAAGCUUGAGUUAAGGAGAGGUAAGUGGAAUUCCUGGUGUAGCGGUGGAAUGCGUAGAUAUCAGGAGGAAUACCGGUGGCGAAGGCGACUUACUGGACUUAAACUGACGCUCAGGCACGAAAUCGUGGGGAGCAAACAGG
rnacentral:rRNA from 1 species